CAUUUAUUAGAUAAAAAGCCAGUUCAUGCUUUUACAGUAUGAAAAUUGGUGAUUUAUAAUAACUUAGCAAAUCGCAAAGUGAAAACAGGCGAUAAAUCAUUCAAGUUUCUGACCUAUCAGCUUUCGACGGUAUGGUAUUGGCUUACCGUGGCAGUGACGGUUAACGGGGGAUUAGGGUUCGAUUCCGGAGAGGGAGCCUGAGAAACGGCUACCACAUCUAAGGAAGGCAGCAGGCGCGCAAAUUACCCAAUUCUAACAGUUUGAGAGAGGUAGUAACAAGAAAUAACAAUACAAGGCAGUUAAAAUGCUUUGUAAUUGGAAUGAUAGAAAUUUAAACCCUUUUUAAAGUAUCAAUUGGAGGGCAAGUCUGGUGCCAGCAGCCGCGGUAAUUCCAGCUCCAAUAGCGUAUAUUAAAAUUGUUGCAGUUAAAAAGCUCGUAGUUGAAGUUCUGCUGAAAGUAACCGGUCUGCUUUUAAUAAAAGUGGUAUCUUGGUAUGUAUUUAGCAAUGAUGUCCUUUGAAGUGUUUUUUACUUUAUUGUAAUAAAGCAUAUUCAGGACUUUUACUUUGAGAAAAUUAGAGUGUUUCUAGCAGGCUAACGCUUUGAAUACUGCAGCAUGGAAAUAAUAA
rnacentral:rRNA from 1 species